rnacentral:rRNA from 1 species
AUGUUUUUUUCUAUCUACUGUUGAUCUUACAUCCCGGACAUAACCACUGAGGUCUUUGGCCUGUAUCCCGGAGACAAUGGAAUCUAUACCUAUGCUAUCCACUUCGACGUCACCAUGAAACCAGGUAUGAACGACGCCUAUAACAUGUCAUGGGAGGCCCCUGUUAAAGGUCUUAUGGCCUCUGAACAAACAAGAUCGUUCGUUGUUGGUUGUGGUGUGCGUGUCUACUUGUUUGGCCAUAAUACCAACGAUCCCAUCGGUAGUUGCAUGAGUAUUUGCCUAGACGACAAAGAGGCCAUGAAGGAGGCAAAUGCAAAGCACUAUGGCUUUGUUGGGAUGGGUUCUUGUUCCAUUUAUUUGCAGAAAGACGUGCCAGCCUUUGGGUUAACAGUUGACCGCCUCAAAGGCGUCUCAGCACUAUCAAGCCAACGUCAAGGGCUCUCUAAUACUAUCAAAGUUUUCCUGGCGGGGGAUUACAAUUUUCAUGUUACCGACAUCUAUUCAAGUCGGAUAGACGAAAGAAACAUUCAGGCAACAAUUCUUCGAAUGGCCAUCACGGAUCAACGAAGAUGUGAAAGUGCUAAGAAGAAAAGGUCAAGCUAUGCUUGUGGCGAUAACAGCGAUUGCAUGGAUGUGGAGGCUACUCCUGUCAGUGCCGCCCUGGCACAAACGACCACAAUCCGUACCUUACAGAUGGUUGUCAACUACCAGUUCCCCAGCGUAACUUCUUCCUUUGUCAAUCUACCUGCAGAAAGUUACAAUCCCAAUCUCGAAGGAGGUUGCAAGAGAUUAUGCGGGAACACUAGCAUCCCCUUCCCUUUUGGCCUUGAAAAGGGUUGCUAUGCUACUGAAAAGUUUCGACUUAAUUGUACAUCAGAAAACAUCACAAUUCUUGAUCAAAGGGCCAAACACAUUGUGGCCAACAUUUCAGUGAAUGAAGGAUGUCUCAGUGUUAGGGAAACGCAAAAAAACUCGGGCUACAACGACGAAGAGCUCACAGUACUAGUUCAUACAGGCGAGGGGAGAAUUGAACUAGGUGGCAACUAUGAGGAAGAUGGUUUUUAUUUAUCAGAAGAAUACAAUAUGAAGAUGUGGUGGUCUGUUGAUAAUUUAACCUGUCCAGUAGCUAUGAGUAACCAAAGAUGGGCUACAUACGCAUGCCGUAGUGUCAAUAGCAAAUGCAUUCCUGUCACCCGCGACCUUAGUAAUGGGACGACGCAGCUUGGUUAUCGUUGCCAGUGCUCUCACGGUUAUGAGGGAAAUCCAUACAGACUGGAUGGAUGCACAGAUGUCAAUGAGUGUUUGUUGAUAUAUACUUGCAAUGGCACAUGCAAAAAUUAUCCUGGAAGCUACAAUUGUGAAAGCUGCACUCAUGGAAAAGAGUUUGAUCAAAUAAAAGGGAGAUGUGUGACAUCAGCAAAAAGACGCAAUCUUCUCUUAGGUAUUGCAAUUGGAAUUAGUUGUGGCCUUGGUGCCAUAAUACUUGCGCUUGGUGCAACAAUACUCAUCAGCAAGUGGAAGAUAGGCAUACAAAAGAGAAUACGAAGGGCAUACUUCAAGAAGAAUCAAGGCCUACUCUUGGAACAACUAAUAUUAGAUGAAAGUGCAACAGAUAAAACAAAGAUAUUCUCCUUGGAGGAAUUAGAUAAAGCAACCAACAACUUUGAUGUCAGUCGUAUUCUUGGUCGUGGAGGGCAUGGCACCGUUUACAAAGGGAUUCUAUCCGAUCAACGUGUAGUGGCCAUAAAAAGGUCUAAGCUGGUGGAGCAAACUGAGAUUGACCAGUUUAUCAACGAGGCUGCCAUCUUGUCACAAAUCAUUCAUCGGAAUGUGGUCAAGCUUUUUGGUUGUUGUCUCGAAACAGAAGUACCUUUGCUAGUUUAUGAGUUCAUAUCCAAUGGCACACUAUAUGAUCUUGUUCACAUUGAUGUAAGUGUUAAAUGCUUACUUUUAUGGGGUGAUCGCAUUAGAAUUGCUGUAGAAGCUGCAGGCGCUCUUGCUUAUCUCCACUCAGCUGCUGCUAUACCAAUUUUCCAUAGAGAUGUCAAAUCUUCCUAUAUACUCCUAGAUGGCAAUUUUACUACCAAGGUUUCUGACUUUGGUGCUUCGAGGUCUUUAUCGCUUGAUCAGACACAUGUAGUGACAAUUGUACAAGGAACUUUUGGUUACUUAGACCCCGAGUACUACCACACCGGGGAGCUAAGUGAGAAGAGUGAUGUUUAUAGCUUUGGAAUUAUACUGGUGGAGCUUCUGGUGAGAAAGAAGCCAAUUUUUAUUAAUGGGCAAGGUAUAAAACAAAGCUUGGCUCAUUACUUUGUGGAAGGACUUCAGCAGGGAGUCCUCAUGGAAAUCAUUGAUCCCCAAGUUGCAGAAGAAGCGAACCAGAAUGAAAUUGAUGGCAUUGCCUCAGUUGCAGAAGCAUGCUUGAAAACCAAAGGAAAAGAAAGACCUACCAUGAAAGAGGUAGAAAUGAAGUUGCAACUCCUGAAAGCUAGAAGAUUAAGGAGUCAGCUUCCUCCCAUAAAUGAUGGAGAGACCGAGUCAUUUGGGUGCCUAAAUGGUGCUAACUCUCAUGCACAGAGCAACAAUAUUGUCAGUAAUGUUGGCUUAACACCUACAUGCAGCUCCGGGAAGUACAGUCUGGAGCAAGAGUUUUUGAACUCGGCCAGCUUUCCACGCUAG